AGGGCACAAUUGCAGGUGUCAGGGAUGCAAGAGUGAUUAAGAGAGAGGGGGCCCUGCCCUCAUGGAGCCUCACUCCAGAGGGACCUGUAGCCCACACCAAAGGAAAAGGAAGAUGGUGAGCUGAAACAGAAGUCAGAAAUGCAGGCAAGAUAUGUCUGCUGGCUAAGGAUGGUAUUUUAUAAAAGCAGCAUUGCCUCAGAGAAGGUCCUUGACAUUCAUGUCUGGUCCCCAAAAUGCCCAUGGCCAUUCCAAAGCCACCCAAAAGGAGAGGAAAUGUGGCCAAAUGGAAGUCACGGUGGAAAGAGGCAGUGAUCUGAAGCAACUAAACAUCUUACCAUUGCAGAGUUUAUAACAAUGAGAAAUGAAGUCUCAGAGAAAUUGUUUUCUGCCUACACAUGGUGGAAGUAUUUCAAAGCUGGAGUUCAAAACCAGUCCAACAAAGUCCAAGGCCUUGGAAUUCUAGCCAAACCUACUGGCUGAGGCAGAAGAAUGAACAAGAAGCAUCAGCCAGGCCGCUGGCCCAGGCACCAACUCACAGUUGCCCAGUAGGAUUGAGCUCUGGGGCCGUUUACAAGUCCACGUCAUUCCUGUA